rnacentral:pre_miRNA from 1 species
AGUGGAAUAGCUUGGCCAAAUGGUGGUUCCAUUCCAAGUUUUCUAAGGAAUCUCUAUACUGCUUUCCAAAGCACCAUUUUGCAAUCCCACCAGCAAU